GAUGAACGCUGGCGGUCUGCUUAACACAUGCAAGUCGAACGGAAUCUUUCGGGAUUUAGUGGCGGACGGGUGAGUAACGCGUGAGAAUCUGCCUUCAGGUUCGGGACAACAGCUGGAAACGGCUGCUAAUACCGGAUGUGCCGAGAGGUGAAACUUAAGUGCCUGGAGAUGAGCUCGCGUCUGAUUAGCUAGUAGGAGUGGUAACGGCACCCCUAGGCGACGAUCAGUAGCUGGUCUGAGAGGAUGAUCAGCCACACUGGGACUGAGACACGGCCCAGACUCCUACGGGAGGCAGCAGUGGGGAAUUUUCCGCAAUGGGCGCAAGCCUGACGGAGCAAGACCGCGUGAGGGAAGAAGGUCUGUGGAUUGUAAACCUCUUUUGAUAGGGAAGAAGACAGUGACGGUACCUAUCGAAUCAGCCUCGGCUAACUCCGUGCCAGCAGCCGCGGUAAUACGGAGGAGGCAAGCGUUAUCCGGAAUUAUUGGGCGUAAAGAGUCCGUAGGUGGGUAACCAAGUCAGCUGUUAAAUAGUGAAGCUUAACUUCAUAGAGGCGGCUGAAACUGGUUGUCUAGAGUGUGGUAGGGGUAGAGGGAAUUCCAGUGUAGCGGUGAAAUGCGUAGAUAUUGGAAGAACACCGGUGGCGAAAGCGCUCUACUGGGCUGCACUGACACUGAGGGACGAAAGCUAGGGGAGCGAAAGGGAUUAGAUACCCCUGUAGUCCUAGCCGUAAACGAUGGAUACUAGGCGUUGCCCG
rnacentral:rRNA from 1 species